CAAGGGCUUUGAACGGGUUAGCCGGCCUGAGAGGGUGACCGGCCACAUUGGGAACUGAGAUACGGCCCAGACUCCUANCGGAGGCAGCAGUGGGCAAUAUUGCACAAUUGGCGGAAGCCUGAUGCAGCAACGCCGCGUGCGGGAUGACGGCCUUCCGGUUGUAAACCGCUUUCGCCUGUGACGAAGCGUGAGUGACGGUCAUGGGUAAAGAAGCACCGGCUAACUACGUGCCAGCAGCCGCGGUGAUACGUAGGGUGCGAGCGUUGUCCGGAUUUAUUGGGCGUAAAGGGCUCGUAGGUGGUUGAUCGCGUCGGAAGUGUAAUCUUGGGGCUUAACCCUGAGCGUGCUUUCGAUACGGGUUGACUUGAGGAAGGUAGGGGAGAAUGGAAUUCCUGGUGGAGCGGUGGAAUGCGCAGAUAUCAGGAGGAACACCAGUGGCGAAGGCGGUUCUCUGGGCCUUUCCUGACGCUGAGGAGCGAAAGCGUGGGGAGCGAACAGGCUUAGAUACCCUGGUAGUCCACGCUGUAAACGGUGGGUACUAGGUGUGGGGUCCAUUCCACGGGUUCCGUGCCGUAGCUAACGCUUUAAGUACCCCGCCUGGGGAGUACGGCCGCAAGGCUAANCACUCAAAGGAAUUGACGGGGCCCCGCACAAGCGGCGGAGCAUGCGGAUUAAUUCGAUGCAACGCGUAGAACCUUACCUGGGUUUGACAUGGAUCGGGUAGNUGCGUCAGAGAUGGGUGUGCCUCCUUUUGGGGUCGGUUNACAGGUCGGUGCAUGGUCUGUCGUCAGCUNNCU
rnacentral:rRNA from 1 species